CUUCCUCCCCGCCCCCCUCCCGCCCGUGGCUCUCGCCUCUGCGCCCCGCCCGGGCCCUUUCUCUCCAAACGGCCGCUGCCCUCGUGGGACGUGGGGGGCAGCGGGGGCGAGAGCCUGCGGGCAUGCAGGGGCCGGAGAGGGGCCUCUCGGCCCGCGGACACGAGGGAUUGUGGCCCUGAGGCCCCCCGGGCCCGCCUUCCAGGGGCCCGCGGAGGGGCCCGAGGACCCCGAGCUGAGGCUGCCAGGGACGGUAGGAGGGAAGAGGCUGCUAGGGUCCUUAGAGGUCAUCGGAACAGUGACCUCGCGGAGGGGGGCCGGGGCCGGACCCGGGCCGAGCCGCGGGUUAUGCACAUGUGGACUCGGACCCAGGCGGGGAGUUGCGGCUUCACUGGGGGGGAGGGAACCCCGACGGCCCGUUAGGACGGAGUUAGGGGCUCUUCCCUCUUUCCCCGUAGCAGGAAAGUUUCAGGAAGUGGGGGACGCGCGAGUAGAGCGCAGGGGGUCCCUAGCUGGGCUGGAGAACUUGGGGGGGUGGUGCCCAAGGUCCCCAGGUAACGCGCCCGCCGUGGGGAGAGAGCCGCUCCUUCUAGGCAGUGCCGAUCCCCCACCGCGCCCGGGAGCUAGGACAGGAAACUGAGGCUUAGACGCGGUCAUUUCUCUGGGCAUGGUCAGGCCCUGGUGACAGCCGGAAUUCCGAGCCAAGGCUUCCAGGGCUCCUUCCAUUACACCAGGCCACCCUUCUCCAGAGUCACACCAGAAGGUUAAUGUUCGUGAAGAAAUUGAAGAGUUUUUUCCAAGAAUGUGGAAGAUAAAUCAAGAUAAAAGAAGGCUAAUGAAAAGUAUUAAAGAUCAGAAAAUUAAAAUUGAAUGGGGGAAAAAAUUGAACAGAAGAUUGGUCAGAUAGAAGCACUUGAAUUUUUUUUAAGGCUAUUAUGAAUUGUUUGAAUUGGGGAAGAAUACACGAAGUAUGAAAAAGGAAAAACUCAAUGAAGAAUGAAGAAAAG